AACCUGAAAUUUUCCCCGAUGCUGCCGGUGGCUUGCGGCUAUCAAGAAUCAUGCUUACGGUGACCAAAGUUUAUCAGAGGGAUUUUCAGGCUGAACUGAUUUGUAAUCAAUUUCGAUGACAGCUGAUAUGUGAUACCAUCAUUUUUUUUACCCUUCACAACAAAACGGAAGAUUUUCAAUUAGAGUGACCUGCUCAAAGGGUUCCAGGACUCUGCACACCUCAUUCACCACCUCCCAUUCCUCUUGGGCCAGAGCAUCAACAGGUGCAUUGUGACAAUGGCCAGGGUAGAGAUGAUGGCAUCCUUUGACUCAAGAAGCCGCUUCAACAUAUACAAUGUUGAAUUCCACCUUGUAGUGCAGUCUUGUUUAGGCCUCAGCUCAGGCAUCCCCAUCUGGCAUUGUGUAGACUAGUUUUUCAGCACUUACUGUGCUCCUGUGGUGGAAGUAUUCCACAGCUGCUUUCACUUUGUCCACAGUGGGCUUCAUCACCUUCAGAGCAUCUCUUACAAUCAGGUGAUUUUAAAAGGGUUUUCCUGCUUGGAAUUGUGUACAUUGGAUUUAGACUAUUGCUAUAAUUUCUAAAACCUCUGUCCUCUAUGUUCGAAAAUGGCUGGAAAUCAGUGGCAAUCAUUUUAGCCAAUGCAAUAUCAAUUUGGCCUUGUUUUGCUACAGACAUUGGCAUAAACUGGUCCAUAGAAGACUGCGUUUCUGUGGGUCACGGAGUAGGCCUACUUGACUGAGUGGAUACAUCUCCACAUGUGGAGGUGCAGGCUCCACCACUAUCACUAGCAGGCCCGCUAGUUUCUCGAAGCUCCGCUACAGCUAGCUUCACAGUUGGGUGCACAGUUCGCAUAUGCCGGUCUAGGUUUUGCGUAGAACCGGCUUUAUAUGAGAUUUUGUUUUGGCAAAUUCUACACUGUGCUCUAACAUUGUCUACAUUAUUAAAAUGCAUCCAACUGCUACUGUGCUUCCGACUCAUUUUCCAGCUGUUGCUUUCAUAGCUGCCCUUCCUCUGUCUUCUCGGCUGCUAAGUGUGUGACUGAGUUGGCUCGGCCCGGGGGGUGCUGAAGAUGGCGGCGAGUGCAGAUGAGAUUUCAGCUUGCUCCGAGUAACCUUAACGUUUAUCCCACUCAAACUUACUUAAAUGUAACGGAACUUGGCUUAUAGUAAACACAAUAGAGAACAACGCUUAGUUGACCGCUAAUUUGAUCUGAAACUUUGAGAAAUGGAAGAAAAAACUGUGCGAAAGAGCAAAGGGAGGAGAAGGCAGUUGCAAGCUGAGCACUCAUACGUUGGAGAAAAACCGACACCUGACUCCUCAGGAGAAGAAAUGGAGGAUUCUGGACAUUCGGUUGAUUCUGAAAAUCCAGUCAAUAGUCCCGCACCCAAAAAGACCCAGAAGGAAUUGUCUUUGCGCAAACUACAGGUCAACAUAAAUCGAUGCUGUCUCUGCAAAGAUAAACGAAAGAGACGAUGGUCUGGAGAAAAUGAUACGCUAAAACACGUAAAAAAAUAGUUGACCUCGAGACCUCUCUGAAUCAUGCAUACAAGAGUAUCGAAGCGCUUAAACUUGCAAACACUGCUACUUCUGAGAAAUGCACUGCACAGGAGAAGACCAUCGCAGACAUGCAAGAGCUCUUAUCGGAAGCAGAGCAAUACCGGAGAAGGUGGGGGCUACGGCUUUAUGGUGUCCCCGAGGACCAGGAUGAGAAUGUGAAGCGCUUAGUAAGAGACAUCUGUAACCGUGUGGCACCGGACUUCCCCGAUGGAUAUAUGGCUGUGGAUGUCGCUCAUCGUAUUGGGAAUAAGCAAGAUGCCAUCGUCAGGCACUCGAUCAUCAUCCAGUUUGCUUUUUGCACAGCGAGAGAUGCAGUUUGGAAGAAAGCAAAGGAAAGUGCCUUUCUGAAAGAGAGAAAAUUUAGAUUCGGUGAGGACUUGACUGCAGCAGACAAGGCAGCAAAGGCAAAAUUGUGGCCUCUUAUACAACAGGCCCGAAAUCAAGGAAAGGGUGGAUACUACAGGGGAAUUAGAGCCUUUUUCGCCGACGGAAAAUAAAUACGACCGGGGUGAUUUGUUCUGUCGGUGGGUUUACAAAGUAACUCCUUCCCCACUGCAAACUGAGCGUUCUAGUUUUGAAUUAUGGUGUUACUGUUUACAAGUUAAGACUUCUGUUAAUACAUAUAUGAAGCAACAUUUUAUAGAGAGGGUAGAGUUGAGAUUGCAUAGGAUUUUUCUUUCUAUUCUAUAGAUAUGGACUUGAAGUUUAUGUCAAUCAAUGCCAGGGGGAUACGAAACCUGUUGAAGAGAAAAAGCUUUUUUUGUUUUGUAAGGACUGCAACGCAGAUCUUGUAUUCGUUCAAGAAACACAUUCAUGCAAAGAGGACUAUAAUUAUUGGAAAAAUCAGUGGGGCAAUGUCAUUUCUUUGGCCCACGGGACUAAUCAUUCGUACAUUUUUGUUUACUCAAAUGGACUCCAAUGGACAUUGGCUAGUAGCGGUCAUCAACCACAUGGACAGAUUAUUUGUGUUGUGUAAUGUAUAUGGAUACUGUUCAAGUCCUCCAAAUAACUUACUUCUAGAGGAAAUUGAAGAAAUUCUUAAAAGUCUUCUGAGAAAAUAUCCAUCCAGUCAGAUUAUAGUUGAUGGAGAUUUUAAUAUGGUUUAUUCUAAUGAGACUGAUAGAUUGCCCCAUAGGCCUAACAUUGGUGUGAACAAAUUGGUGAAUUACUACCAAAGCCUGGAUUUAAUUGACAUAUGGAGAGUUAAAAACCCUGGAGAGAAACAAUACACAUGGAGUAAUAGAGAUCGUUCCUUACAAUGAAGAAUUGAUUUGUGGGUGAUAUCCUCUAGUCUUGAGCCCAACACUGUAGAGGUCAAAAUACAGCCUGCAGUCCUGACGGAUCAUAAAGUCAUAUGGUUGACUGUAAGAAUUAUGCAGUAAUGAUGGUAAGAAAUACUCUGGUGGUUAUUGGAAAUUACAUAACUCAUUGUUAUUGCAUGAUGAUUUAAAAAAUGUGAUUAAGAAUCUAAUUUCUGUUUACUGGAGUUUAGCUACAUCUAAUGCAGAAUAUGGGAAAUAUUGGGAACUGCUGAAAUUUAAAAUCCACUCAGCCUGUAUUACUUAUGGAAAACGGCUUGCUUUAAGGAGAUGUGAGGUAGCUGAACUCUCUAAGACAAUUGCGGAUGUCACAGAGAUUGAGCAUCUUGAUCUUAAUGAGAAAGCUAAAUUGAAUGAUUUACAGAAUCAACUAGAUACAUUGUAUGAGGAAAAGACUAGAGGAGCUUUCAUAAGAUCCAGAAAACAAUGGCUUGAAAAAGGCGAAAAGAACAGUAGAUACUUUUUUAAUUUGGAAAAGAGGAGAGGGG
rnacentral:lncRNA from 1 species